rnacentral:rRNA from 1 species
UACGUAGGGUGCAAGCGUUGUCCGGAAUUAUUGGGCGUAAAGAGCUCGUAGGCGGUUCGUCGCGUCGGCUGUGAAAACCUGAGGCUCAACCUCAGGCCUGCAGUCGAUACGGGCGGACUUGAGUACUUCAGGGGAGACUGGAAUUCCUGGUGUAGCGGUGAAAUGCGCAGAUAUCAGGAGGAACACCGGUGGCGAAGGCGGGUCUCUGGGCUGAUACUGACGCUCAUGCACGAAAGCGUGGGGAGCAAACAGG